rfam:Dipodomys ordii contig_67015, whole genome shotgun sequence.
GGGAAGUUGGCUCAGUGGUAGAGUGCGUGCCUGGCAUGCAUGAGGCCCUGGGUUCAAUUCCAUAGCAUCACA